UACGGAGGGUGCAAGCGUUGUUCGGAAUUACUGGGCGUAAAGGGCUCGUAGGCGGCCAACUAAGUCAGACGUGAAACCCCUCGGCUUAACCGGGGAACUGCGUCUGAUACUGGAUGGCUAGAGGUUGGGAGAGGGAUGCGGAAUUCCAGGUGUAGCGGUGAAAUGCGUAGAUAUCUGGAGGAACACCGGUGGCGAAGGCGGCAUCCUGGACCAAUUCUGACGCUGAGGAGCGAAAGCCAGGGGAGCAAACGGG
rnacentral:rRNA from 1 species